UGACGGUCGCGUGGCGAGAUCUGCGCCCGCGUGGUUCUGACAUCACUUCCCCGGUGUCAGACCCAGCGGACGCAGAUCUGGCCACACGACAUCAGCCGG
rnacentral:ncRNA from 1 species